rnacentral:rRNA from 1 species
GAUGAACGCUAGCGACAGGCUUAACACAUGCAAGUCGAGCGAGCGGAACCAACAGAUUUACUUCGGUAAUGACGUUGGGAAAGCGAGCGGCGGAUGGGUGAGUAACACGUGGGGAACCUGCCCCUAAGUCUGGGAUACCAUUUGGAAACUGGUGCUAAUACCGGAUAAUAAAGCAGAUCGCAUGAUCAGCUUUUGAAAGGCGGCGUAAGCUGUCGCUAAGGGAUGGCCCCGCGGUGCAUUAGCUAGUUGGUAAGGUAACGGCUUACCAAGGCGACGAUGCAUAGCCGAGUUGAGAGACUGAUCGGCCACAUUGGGACUGAGACACGGCCCAA